rnacentral:rRNA from 1 species
GACGAACGCUGGCGGCGUGCUUAACACAUGCAAGUCGAACGGAAAGGCCCUGCUUUUGUGGGGUGCUCGAGUGGCGAACGGGUGAGUAACACGUGAGUAACCUGCCCUUGACUGUGGGAUAAUUUCAGGAAACUGGGGCUAAUACCGGAUAGGAGCUCCUGAUGCAUGGUGGGGGUUGGAAAGUUUCGGCGGUUGGGGAUGGACUCGCGGGUGAUCAGCUUGUUGGUGGGGUAGUGGCUUACCAAGGCUUUGACGGGUAGCCGGCCUGAGAGGGUGACCGGCCACAUUGGGACUGAGAUACGUCCCAGACUCCUACGGGAGGCAGCAGUGGGGAAUAUUGCACAAUGGGCGGAAGCCUGAUGCAGCAACGCCGCGUGCGGGAUGACGGCCUUCGGGUUGUAAACCGCUUUCGCCUGUGACGAAGCGUGAGUGACGGUAAUGGGUAAAUAAGCACCGGCUAACUACGUG